rnacentral:rRNA from 1 species
AAGGAUCAUUAUUGGAGGAAUUUUGCGUAGCAUUGAGAACUGUUGCUGACCUGUGAAAGGGUAUGUGCACGUUGGAUGUGUUGCGUUUGAUUGUUUUCCACCUGUGCACGUUUGUAGACUUGGUUAGAAGGGGGGGGCCCUCCCCUUUGUUGUUUCGCUUUCGAGCGGUUAGAAGUGUUGCUCGUUUUUGAGCUCGCUUUGUGCACCAAGUCUAUGUCUAUAUAAUCUCUUGUAUGUUUUAGAAUGUGUUGUUUAUGGGACGCAAGUCCUUUAAAUGUUAUACAACUUUCAACAACGGAUCUCUUGGCUCUCGCAUCGAUGAAGAACGCAGCGAAAUGCGAUAACUAAUGUGAAUUGCAGAAUUCAGUGAAUCAUCGAGUCUUUGAACGCAUCUUGCGCCCUUUGGUAUUCCAAAGGGCAUACCUGUUUGAGUGUCAUUAAAUUCUCAACCUCGCCUUAGUGCGGUGGAUUGGAUAUGGGGGUUUUGCUGGUUUCUAACGAGAUCAGCUCCUCUGAAAUGCAUUAGCAGAAACCGUAAGACUUUGGCUGCUAGGCUGUGAUAAUAUCUAUGCCUUAGUAGUCUUGUCAGAAUACAAGUCAUAGAGUGGGUAUUCUUGCGCAAGCUUAUUCGCUAAGACUUUGUAUAAGGAUUCAGCUUCUAACGGUCCAUUGGUUUGGACAAUUUAUUGAUUAUUUGACCUCAAAUCAGGUAGGACUACCCGCUGAACUUAA